AGACGAACCGUCCAAACGUUAUUCGGAAUUACUGGGCUUAAAGGGUGCGUAGGCGGUCCGGGAAGUUGGGUGUGAAAGCCCACAGCUUAACUGUGGAACUGCGUCCAAAACUGCCGGGCUUGAGGGAGACAUAGGUGAGCGGAACUUAGGGUGGAGCGGUGAAAUGCGUUGAGAUCCUAAGGAACACCAGUAGCGUAAGCGGCUCACUGGGUCUUUUCUGACGCUGAUGCACGAAAGCUAGGGGAGCGAAGAGGAUUAGAUACCCUCGUAGUCCUAGCCGUAAACGAUGAGCACUGAUUUGGAGGGUCCUCCAUAGCCUUCCAGAUGUAGCGAAAGUGUUAAGUGCUCCGCCUGGGGAGUAUGGUCGCAAGGCUGAA
rnacentral:rRNA from 1 species